GUGCUCACUUGGCAGCACAUAUACAAAACCCUGGAUGCUACAGAGAAGAUUAGCAUAGGUCCUACUUAAGAUGACAUGCAAAUCUGUAAGUGCUCCAUAGUUUU
ensembl:snRNA U6 U6 spliceosomal RNA